GCUAGUGUGGCCUAGUGGUUUGAGCGUUGGACUGCGACUCUGGAAACCAGGGUUUGAUUCCCCACUCGGCCA
rnacentral:tRNA from 1 species